GGCGACAGGCCUUCCUCACCCACCUCGAAAACCGCCUUGUGCAGGAUGUCCGAUAGGAACAGCGGCUCGUGCGAUCCGUCGAGCUCUAACAUGUCUGGCAGAUCAGCGGCUCCUGUUGAGAACAUCGUUUCGAUCCCGAGAUCCUGGUGGAGAGCAUGCUUCAGGCUCGUGGUCGUGGAGCGAAGGAUAUCCUGAGCUUGGGCACCCGGAACUCGCCAACAUUGACAGGCCACUCCGGUAGGUGCUCGUGGAGGAAGCUCGGGCUCGACGCCAUCGUGUCGUGGAGGCUCCAUAGACCGUCGUGCGCGUCCGGCAAGACUAUAUGUGUACAUGGAGUGCCGUGGGAACUGGGGCAUGGACAUGUUCCUCGCCCACAAGAGGCCACCCUCGCGGCACGUCGCGCCGACGACGUGGAGGAGCUCGCUGAGGUUUCUGCCGCGGGCGCCGGCGGCCAUCACGGAGAGCGAGGAGUAGAUGGACAACGGCGAGAAGACGAGGUUUCCGGCACUGCACGCGCCAUCUCUAGGGGACUUGGCGCCAUGGGCUUGUAGUUCCAUACUCGAUUUUAUCGGUGGGUAACAAAUGAAGGCUGACUACUAGAGCUCAAAGGCACUGGAUACACUGCCAGUGAGUACUAUGAAUCUCCUCCAGAACACUUUGGACGCCAGAUCCAUCCGCACAUAUAACUUUAAUAAUCCUUCUCUAACCAGCCACACAGGUAAUCAACAAGUACAACAACCGCACUGUAUCCUUAAUUGUAGUUAUUACAUCCAUUACCGAUACAUAAGUUGAUCUUAGCAACAAUACGUCCAAUGCCAAUAUGAAUAAAUCAACAAAGACUAUUAACAGAUUACACAUUUAAUGGCCCUUCUAGGGUUUAGGGCAAUUGAACCCAUCCAAUCAGGUCAAUAUGGACAGAAAUAUACUUGAAUAAGCUCAUGAGAGACAACUGCCUUGUCACUCUUCAGUAUCAAAACUAAUUAUCAUCAAUAAUGGCCUUUCCGAUCGUGAAUCAAAAUAAUGGAGAUUUAUAUAAAGGUAAUCCCUUCAGUUCAAGAUCUCUAUUAAUAUUUUCAUGCGCACUUUUCUUAUUUCAUUAUGUGUGCUAACAAAUCAUCUUGUAAGCAUGUUCCACCUUUUCGCAGUGAAGCAACCAACGCCACAUCGACGAGCAGUUUGAUGGCAAAGCUGAUUCCUCCGUGCUUAUCAACUCUAUUGUUUCAAUAAUAACCUCUAAGAUUGCCUUAGUUAAUUAUGUUACGAACUACUUCUUCUUGUCUCUAUCUAUAAUGUAUUAUAUGUUCCCAUUCGAAUUCAACUACCGUCAAACUAAGUAAUUUUACAGAUUAUCUGAAACGAUAUUUUAUAUAUUGUACUUGCCACCCUGUGCUUAUCUAAUAUAUUUUCAUUACUUCCCUAUGUUUCUACUAUAUCCCCUGCAUGACACAUCCAAAUGCAACGGUGUACGCACGCAUGGGCUUUCAAUAAUAAUGACACCUUAUAAGUCGUAAGCUGGAGAUUCUAAAGAAAUCAAGUACUACUACUGAAGAUAAUGAUGCUGCUUCGGAGCCAGCCAUUGAUUCUGCUGUGCGUUUGGAUGUGCCCCAGGUUAAAGAAGUGACAAGAGAUGAUAAGGAUUUGAGGAUUGAUGGUGUUGACAAGGAACUUGGAACAAAUGGCCAUGAGCUGGAUCAGUGUGGUGUUGCAGUGGAUGAGGAUGAUUUGAAUUGCAAGGAGAAAGAUCUCCAUACCAAAGCUUCAGAUGAGGGUGAAUGUGAGCUUUGGUCCCAACGAGGAUCGUAUUCUCAUGACUGGAAUGCAUAUAGUGAAUGAUAUCUACUGUAGCUGCUGCCAACGACUCCUUGGCUGGAGAUAUCUCGUAACCUGAUGGUAUCAGCUAGGGUGAAUGAUGAAUAAUUGCUGCAUCUUCUCAUCUUCUGUAGAAGGCCAAUAGGUGAAGGUGCCUCUGUCAAUUAACCUAUGGUCUCAUGAUUAGUUAGGUUUUUCUUGAAAUUGUAAUAAUGUCUAUUGGGUUGUGAUCUCCGCAUUAUUUAUGAACACAAGAAUCAUGUGGUGCACAGCAGUAUUCAGUGUCCAAGCUGUAGCUUAAACUUUGGAUAAUCAGAUUAUUACAUGCAAUGAGAUUAAUAUGGCACGUGCUCCA